AGAGUUUGAUCAUGGCUCAGAUUGAACGCUGGCGGCAGGCCUAACACAUGCAAGUCGAGCGGCAGCGGGAAAGUAGCUUGCUACUUUUGCCGGCGAGCGGCGGACGGGUGAGUAAUGCCUGGGAAAUUGCCCAGUCGAGGGGGAUAACAGUUGGAAACGACUGCUAAUACCGCAUACGCCCUACGGGGGAAAGCAGGGGACCUUCGGGCCUUGCGCGAUUGGAUAUGCCCAGGUGGGAUUAGCUAGUUGGUGAGGUAAUGGCUCACCAAGGCGACGAUCCCUAGCUGGUCUGAGAGGAUGAUCAGCCACACUGGAACUGAGACACGGUCCAGACUCCUACGGGAGGCAGCAGUGGGGAAUAUUGCACAAUGGGGGAAACCCUGAUGCAGCCAUGCCGCGUGUGUGAAGAAGGCCUUCGGGUUGUAAAGCACUUUCAGCGAGGAGGAAAGGUUGAUGCCUAAUACGUAUCAACUGUGACGUUACUCGCAGAAGAAGCACCGGCUAACUCCGUGCCAGCCGCCGCGGUAAUAC
rnacentral:rRNA from 1 species